rnacentral:rRNA from 1 species
AGCGAACGCUGGCGGCAGGCUUAACACAUGCAAGUCGAGCGGGCAUCCUUGUGGUGUCCGCGGCAGACGGGUGAGUAACGCGUGGGAACGUGCCCUUCGGUUCGGAAUAACUCAGGGAAACUUGAGCUAAUACCGGAUACGUGCGAGAGCAGAAAGGUUUAUCUGCCGAAGGAUCGGCCCGCGUCUGAUUAGCUAGUUGGUGAGGUUACGGCUCACCAAGGGUACGAUAAGUAGCUGGUCUGAGAGGAUGAUCAGCCACACUGGGACUGAGACACGGCCCAGACUCCUACGGGAUGCAGCAGUGGGGAAUAUUGGACAAUGGGGUCAACCCUGAUCCAGCCAUGCCGCGUGAGUGAUGACGGCCUUAGGGUUGUAAAGCUCUUUUCUCCGGGACGAUAAUGACGGUACCGGAGGAAUAAGCCCCGGCUAACUUCGUG